rnacentral:rRNA from 1 species
GACAGAGGGUGCAAACGUUGUUCGGAAUUACUGGGCGUAAAGCGCGUGUAGGCGGCUUUGCAAGUCGGGCGUGAAAUCCCAUGGCUCAACCAUGGAAGUGCACUCGAGACUGCAGAGCUAGAGUCCUGGAGAGGAAGGUGGAAUGCUUGGUGUAGAGGUGAAAUUCGUAGAUAUCAAGCGGAACACCGGUGGCGAAGGCGGCCUUCUGGACAGUGACUGACGCUGAGACGCGAAAGCGUGGGGAGCAAACAGG